rnacentral:rRNA from 1 species
GAUGAACGCUGGCGGCGUGCCUAAUACAUGCAAGUCGAGCGAAUGAUGAGGAGCUUGCUCCUCUGAUUUAGCGGCGGACGGGUGAGUAACACGUGGGUAACCUGCCUGUAAGAUGGGGAUAACUCCGGGAAACCGGGGCUAAUACCGAAUAAUAAAAGAAGAAGUAUUUCUUCUUUUUGAAAGUUGGUUUCGGCUAACACUUACAGAUGGGCCCGCGGCGCAUUAGCUAGUUGGUGAGGUAACGGCUCACCAAGGCGACGAUGCGUAGCCGACCUGAGAGGGUGAUCGGCCACACUGGGACUGAGACACGGCCCAGACUCCUACGGGAGGCAGCAGUAGGGAAUCUUCGGCAAUGGGCGAAAGCCUGACCGAGCAACGCCGCGUGAGCGAGGAAGGCCUUCGGGUCGUAAAGCUCUGUUGUCAGGGAAGAACAAGUACGAGAGUAACUGCUCGUACCUUGACGGUACCUGACCAGAAAGCCACGGCUAACUACGUGCCAGCCGCCGCAGUAAAAC